rnacentral:lncRNA from 1 species
GUUAACACAACAGUAGCCCAAUAAUUUACUAAAUUAUCAAUUUAAUAAGUUCAAAAACAAAAAAUCACAAUGAAAACAAAAAUAUUAAAGACAACAUAGCAACAACAUAAUAGAAGUAAAAGGAUGAAACCUAUGAAUCCAUUUCUAAAUUGAAGCAGUUAUAUGAUGAAGGUAUAGAUAUAAGGUUCCUGAAGAAGAGGUGGCUGGGUCAUCGCGGAACUGGAAAAGGGUGUCGCGUAACUGGAGCCGCAGAGGGUGGAAUGCGGCGGAACAGAACCAACAUGUUGGUAGAACUAGAGUAGAGGAGGGCUGGAGUGCGGUGGAUCAGAACCGACGCGGUGGAACAAUGGCUGUGCAACGGAGAAACGACGUGAGACAAGUUGCAGUGGGAUGGAGGCUUCGAGCAUAUGCGACGCGACGGCAGAGACGAGCAGAGAUGACGCUAAAGGAGUGGGGUGACGGCUAGACCAAUUUGACGGCGGCGGUGACAGCUCAAAGAAAAAAGUAGCGAUUGAGGCUAGGUUUUUUUAUGUUUUUGAGAGAGGGAAGCAGAGAAAAGAUGAGUGAGAAACAGAGAGGGUGACGGUGAAGUUUCUUUUUAUUUUUUAUUUUUUAUUUUUUUUCUAAUUUAAAAUUCAAAACGGUUGGCUAAAAUGUGAAAACCGAUCAAAUUUCGAUUCAAUCUGAUCGACUGGUUCCGAUCGAUUCGACAGUUUAAUUUCAGUUUUCAAAACACAGUUAUAUUAUUUGUUUGAAUCAUUUUCUCUAUCAGUUUAUGGUUCAACUGAUUCGAUCGAUCGGUUUAAAUCGGUUUUCAGAACCUAGGCCAUAUGCGGAAGCAUCAUUAGUUACUUUCAUUUUCAAAUUCCC